GAGUCUGAGAAAGAAGAUAAAAAUCAUGUAGAAAAUCAGAAUUAUGUGCAUUUUUCUAAUUGAAAAGUGCUGAAAUGCUGAUGUACCUGCUCCUCAAUAUUCCACACCACCACAGAGCCAUCACAGCUAGCAGAGGCCUGAAAGACAAAGGCGACAGUGAUGUGAUGUACGACAGGUGUCCUCAGACACAAGGUUCACUCACCAAGAAGUCAUCUUUGGGGUCAAAGGUGACGCUGAGGACAGGUGCCUCGUGACCCCUGAGUGUUUUCUGUUGACUGCUGUCUGACACCUCCACCACCUUAACCAUGAAGUCACUGUGGAAAAAGGACAAAGUUCAGCACAAGCUAGCCAACUAUCAAGUACCUGGACCCAGCUGCAACUCUCGAGCCAAUGCUGUUGAAGGCGACGUGUGUGGCAU